rnacentral:rRNA from 1 species
GACGAACGCUGGCGGCGCGCCUAACACAUGCAAGUCGAACGAGCGAGCGAGAGCUUGCUUUCUCGAGCGAGUGGCGAACGGGUGAGUAACGCGUGAGGAACCUGCCUCAAAGAGGGGGACAACAGUUGGAAACGACUGCUAAUACCGCAUAAGCCCACGGGUCGGCAUCGACCAGAGGGAAAAGGAGCAAUCCGCUUUGAGAUGGCCUCGCGUCCGAUUAGCUAGUUGGUGAGGUAAUGGCCCACCAAGGCGACGAUCGGUAGCCGGACUGAGAGGUUGAACGGCCACAUUGGGACUGAGACACGGCCCAGACUCCUACGGGAGGCAGCAGUGGGGAAUAUUGCACAAUGGGGGAAACCCUGAUGCAGCGACGCCGCGUGGAGGAAGAAGGUCUUCGGAUUGUAAACUCCUGUUGUUGGGGAAGAUAAUGACGGUACCCAACAAGGAAGUGACGGCUAACUACGUG